UGGACGUCGAGGCCGGUCAGCCUCGGAAGAAGGCACGGGUGCUUCCGAGCGACGGUCCUGAGGUGGUCCCGGCCUCAGUGGAAGGUGUCGUGGUGCCGGCGGCGAGGGCUACUGCAGCACCGGCGGUCGAGGGCGUCGUAGCGCCGGUGGACCAUGCCGCGGGGAGUCAGGAGGAGGGCACGGCUGGUCCGAGUGGUCGUGCGGUGAUGGAGGUGCCUCGCCAGCCCUCCAUCCGC
rnacentral:lncRNA from 1 species